UAAAAUAACCUGUUUUGUGAUGAGAGUUACGAGUAUCUCUGGAAUUAGCUUCAAUAAUUUUUUUCUCAUUAAAAAAGAAGUCUAUAGUGCCAAGGCCACCUAUAUAUAUAUAAUUAUAUUCUCAACAUUGUUACACCUUUGCUAUGAAAAAAAUAAAUUAGUCUAUUGAAACAAUUUCUUUUCCUUUUCUCUCAAAUUCAUUUCAUAUUUAUCUUUGGAAACCAAAAAGAAAUGUUAAAUGGAAAGUCAAAAAUUGUAAUUCUUGCACUUUCACUUUUCUUUAGUGUAGUUAUGGUUUGUUUUUGCUGCAUUUUAGUGAGCCAUUUCGUAAAGGAAUUUGGAAAUGUACCAAAGAGAUCAACUCGAAAAAAUCAAGAUGUGUUGUGGACAGGAUUUGGAAUUUCUUUAUUUGUAAUAUUUGCUUUUGCUUUUGUUGUAUUUGCUGUAUUUUCUAGUUGUGGUAUAAUUUAUAUAAUCCAAUGUAGCACCAAGAUUGCACCUGCACCUUUGGAAGCUGGAGACUAAAAGCCAUAACUCUUAGAAUUGUGAGACAAGCAUAACUCGAUUCUACAAAAUCGACUUGUAAGGGGGUCUUGUUACACGAGUGGACACUCUGAUACCAUGUUGACAAGAGGAUCAAAAUGGAAAAGAAAACUCAUUCUCAUUGAAUUGGGAAAAAAUGAAAGUUUUUGGCGGUUAAAGAAGGAGAAACAAUAACCAAAACCGGAUUUUCGUUUGGAUGCAGAUAGUAGGGAUUCGUAGAGUUGGUGGGGAAAUCUAUGUAGUUCUGGAGUGCCAUUGUUCCAACAAGAAGACGCCUAAUCUUAACUUUGCACCAUCUAAAGAAGAUGCCGAAUCUUGAGAACGAUGUUCCAACAAGAAGUACACUAAUUAUCAUUUCUAAGCAUCUACGCAAGGACUUGAGAGUCGAUACGAAACUCCACGCAGCUAAACCUAAGUCUCCACGCAUACAACCUCCCAACACCUCACAACUCCUCAACACAUAUAUAGUACUGUACAUUUCCCCACAAAUAUGAUUAAAUUCUUUAAACUCUUCAAUAUUUUUUUUCACCACCAGUUUAAUCUGGUACGGGGUCAGUUCUGGCAUCAAGUGGUUUCAGCCCCUCCUGAUCGUAAUUGUAGGGGAUCGAACUGUGGUCCUCCCUACCAAGCUCAACGUCAAUCAUACUGAACCUAAACUCUUCAGUAUUGUACCAAACACAAAACACUUUCAAAACUAGAUUUUUUAAAAUAAAUGCUUUUAACAUGUCUUAAAACUUAUUUCAAUAAAUGUACUACUAGUUUUGUUUCGA